UUUGACUGAAUGGUAUGGUUCUAUGGCAUCGCUAGUGUACAUUAUCAGCAACCUCAUCCUCCUCUUCCUCAUAGUCUUCUGUUUGAUUGGGAAAGAAGGCAGUUUCUAAUUCAGAGUAAUGCAAGAAUGAACAAAAGCCUAACUGAUGCAUUCAUCUGUAUAUAGACAGCUUGCGCUUUACAGAAGCAAGUCCCUGGCUUAUGCAACUUGCUGUACUUCUACAAAAAGUGUAACAAUUUGUUGUUUUAAAGUGCAUUAUCUUACAUUGGCACUAUCUGAAAUACUAAUCGAACACUAAAAGCCAUUUAGUGACUCUACCUCCUCUAAAGAUGAACAAUUAGUUACACAAAAGAUUGAAUACAGAAAAAAAAAUACAUUCUUAAACAAAAUAAAGAUUAGAGUCAAUACAACUUAGAUAAUCCAAUAAAAAAAA